AUUAGAUCAAAACCGAUCGGCGUCCGGCUCCGGCCGGCGCCGUCUCUUUUGGUGACUCUGGAUAACUUUUAGCCGAUCGCACGGUCACAGUACCGGCGACGCAUCUUUCAAAUGUCUGACUUAUCAACUGUCGAUGGUAGGCUCUGCGCCUACCAUGGUUGUAACGGGUAACGGGGAAUCAGGGUUCGAUUCCGGAGAGGGAGCCUGAGAAACGGCUACCACAUCCAAGGAAGGCAGCAGGCGCGCAAAUUACCCACUCCCGGCACGGGGAGGUAGUGACGAAAAAUAACGAUACGGGACUCAUCCGAGGCCCCGUAAUCGGAAUGAGUACACUUUAAAUACUUUAACGAGUACCAAUUGGAGGGCAAGUCUGGUGCCAGCAGCCGCGGUAAUUCCAGCUCCAAUAGCGUAUAUUAAAGUUGUUGCGGUUAAAAAGCUCGUAGUUGGAUCUGUGUGCCACGCUGUCGGUUCACCGCCUGUCGGUGUCAACUGGCAUGUCUGUGGGACGUCCUGCCGGUGGCGGUACGGGCUGCCGGCGCUGCGUAGGGGCUCGCCCCCGAAGCACGCCGGCGUGUCCCGGUCCGCCGAUCCAAUCCCGCCGCGGUGCUCUUCACUGA
rnacentral:rRNA from 1 species